rnacentral:rRNA from 1 species
UUGUCCCUACGGGGGGCAGCAGUGAGGAAUAUUGGUCAAUGGCCGAGAGGCUGAACCAGCCAAGUCGCGUGAGGGAUGACGGCCCUACGGGUUGUAAACCUCUUUUGUCGGGGAGCAAAGAGAGUCACGUGUGGCUCAUUGAGAGUACCCGAAGAAAAAGCAUCGGCUAACUCCGUGCCAGCAGCCGCGGUAAUACGGAGGAUGCGAGCGUUAUCCGGAUUUAUUGGGUUUAAAGGGUGCGCAGGCGGAGGGGCAAGGCAGGGGUCAAAUUGCGGGGCCCAACCCCGU